UCGGUGGGAGACCUGUGCUUUCAGUCAUUUUUGCCUGGGGUUGGGGGCUGUCCCUGCCAAUUCCCACUGCUACAAACCAUCCCAGAGCAGAGAGAAGCAGGGGAAAGACUGAAAGGGAAAGGAAGGAGAUAAGGGAACCAGUCCUCUGUUUGGGGCUCCUGUGCCAUUUUUGUCAAAGGCUCAACCAAGGUGCGCUCUGGAUGAGUGAGGUUUAGGCUGACUCUGGGAAGUUGGAGAAAAUGAAGAAGAUUAUAAAUUAAUUCAUUUGGGUUGGUGGGAAGUAGAGAGUAGGACCUCAGGCAGAGAAGGACUCAGGCAGGCCAGGAGAGAGGAACAGCAGACCCGACAUCCUCCCCAGGCGCGUUGUCCUAGAGUAGCCUCUGUAAGGUCCACGUGCUUUUUGCCUCCCCCUUGGGCUCAGGUCCAUGCUGGGAGAAGGGAAGGCUCUUCAUUGUUACCCCCUCCCUUGUACUCAUCUCUUUCAUUUAUCAAAUCAGUAGACUGAAAUCCUGCUCACCUUUCUCCUGUCUUCUCAGGCACCCCUUUCCUCUCCAUCCUACAGCCACCCUAUUGGCCAAGGGGCUCUCCUCGUCCACUGGGUGGACCAGUGCAGCCAGUCAGCCAGCACACUGGCCUAAUGCACUCCCUACAGCACACUUGCUGAAUCCCAUCACAGCUCUAGAUGCCCCAGUGCGCUCCCUCUCACAUCUGCACCGCGGGACUCAUCUCCUGCCGCCUUAUCUCUUCUCUUUUCCUUCGUAUGCCUCGUUCACAGCCACCUCCAAACCUCCGCUCAUACCAUUUCUACAGCUUGGAAUAUUCUCUUCCCUUUACUUGUUCAAUCUUUCACAGCCAGUCUCCAGACCUCUGUUGUCUCUGAAGCCGUCCCUGGCCGCUCCCGGCUUCUCCGCUGCUACUUUUACUUUGCUCUCUGGCCAGACUUGCAGGUGGUCUCCAGGUUAGCUAUUCAUAAAUACAGAGGGACUGAACACUACUCAGUGGUGAUUACAAUUUACUGAGCCUAUUAGGUACUAGAGAGUGUGUCUGCUUCCUCUUCCAUCUCUACCACAAAUCCGAGAACUUCGAGUUAUUCAUGUUAUUACCUAAUGUCGUGGAUUCACACUCUACGGAUCUGAAAUUUGAAGCAUCUUAACAACUGGUGGCAUCUUACAACUGCAGUGACUGUGAUGGAAGUCUGAUUGCUUCCAGGGAAUACCUGCAUUUGCUUCUGUCAGAACCUGGGACACUCCAAGCAGAGGCUACUUCAGAAUGAAUUCUAUGCCUGCUAGUGUGGACUCCAUCCACUGAGUGACCGGAGCACUGUUUUGUGGUACACAGCCUCACGGAAGUUUUAUUUUUCUCUCUGCCCCAUGUCUCCAGAUGGAGGCAGGCAUGUUUCCCCACCGACCUUUCUGCACAGCAGUCAUUUCUCUUUACUUUCACCCAGAGCAUGACUCUGGUGCCCCAGUUUUAUGUGCAGGUCUCCUGUUAGACUCUCCACCUUGGGCAUUUUUAAAUUUCUAAGUUGUGUUUAAAUCGAUGCUAUAUAAAAUAAUUGUUCGCACUUUAUCUCUAUGAUACGGUAAUUCCAUUUGCAUAUUUGAAAAAUGAAGGUGUUAGUUCAGAACCUGUGGGCAGAGGUGAGUGAAGGAAAAGUAAAGAGGCGCCUACAAAUGCCUGUUGAUUAAUUCACUGGUUGAUUGGUCCUGACCCUGCGUCUCUCGGAAUUAGAUUCUCAAUCGAUCCACUUUAUUCUGAAUCCAAAUCUCAGGUGAGCAGACUUUCAAAGAGGUACGCAUAGCUCGAUAUGUCAACUCGAGACAACAAAUGACAUUUAACUUGUCAUCAUUUCAAUCAUCGCAUCAGGGAUGGAAAGAGAGAAGUUGGGACUGUCCUGUGAGCACGUCUCAGGGCAGAGCAGAGGCCAGGUGGCUCCUCACCUUCCACCUCCAGCUCAGCUCAGCUCAUGAGGUCAAAGACCCUCAGAUCCCCCAGCUCCACCCAAGCUGGUUUUAAAAUUCCUUUGCACUUGUUAUGCUUUGAGGGUUUCUUUUGGAGAAAACCACAACUUUGAAUACUCAUCAGCAAUUCCACGCUCGGCCACAGGGAUGAAUCCCACAGGGCUCCUGCUGCAUGGAUCCAUUUGGAAGUCUCACCUGAGGGGAGGACAGUCUAUCCAGGCCUCUCGAUCUGUGCUUCAGCCUGGCUCUCUCCAUGGGGCUUCCCUGGUUGGAUGUUUUCGCAGGGCCCCAGUCACGAAGCCUACGAAGGUAGAGGAACAAGUUUUUCCACCCCUACAAAGACCUAUGGAGACCAUCGGCACUUGCUGAUCUGGGCAGGCAGAGAGAGAAGUGGCCGAAGUGACGAGUCCAGACAAGCCAAGACCAAGCAUUGUCUGGAGCAGCCGAGUCUUCAUAGCAGCAGCCCCAGCUGAAGGAGGAGCUCACGUUCAUUCUCGAAAAGACAGCUGGGCUGCUGCCAGGGGCCGGGAGUAGAGCUGUCCAUGGAUGACCUUCCUUCCAGGCCCCGCAGCCCCCUGCGGAGGGCUGGCUCUGUCUCUCCUCCUGUCUCCUUAGCUAACCUGGAGGAGCCUCAUGAACACAUGUACAAGAAGAACUCUCCAGUUCUAAAAUUCUAGAAUUACACCCACCAAGCACAGUAAAAACUCAUUAAUGCAGACCACUUGUUCCAAGUUUCUAAUUAUUCCUUUUGGACUAAACUUAAGCUUAUUUUGCUCAGCAAAAUUUUAUUAUAGAUAGCUCAAAUUAAAGAGAGAAUAAGCAGAGCAAUUGUUUAGGAUA